rnacentral:rRNA from 1 species
UACGAAGGGGGCUAGCGUUGUUCGGAAUUACUGGGCGUAAAGCGCGCGCAGGCGGUUUUCCAAGUCAGUGGUGAAAGCCCGGAGCUCAACUCCAGAACUGCCUUUGAUACUGAAGAUCUUGAGUUCGGGAGAGGUGAGUGGAACUGCGAGUGUAGAGGUGAAAUUCGUAGAUAUUCGCAAGAACACCAGUGGCGAAGGCGGCUCACUGGCCCGAUACUGACGCUGAUGCACGAAAGCGUGGGGAGCAAACAGG